UAAAGUUGUUGCCGUUAAAAAGCUCGUCGUUGAAUUUCGGGAUCAGUUCGCUGGUCGUGCCUCUGGUAUGUACUGGUGUUACUGGUUCCUCCCUUCUGCCGAACUGUCAUGUCAUUUAUUUGGUGUGGCAGGAAAUCAGGGCUGUUACUUUGAAAAAAUUAGAGUGUUUAAAGCAGGCGCGCGCUUGAAUACAUUAGAAUGGAAUAAUGAAAUAGNACUUUCGAUCCUAUUUUGUUGGUUUCUAGGAUUGACGUAAUGAUUAAUAGGG
rnacentral:rRNA from 1 species